AUAGGGCCUUGGCAAAGAGCGGUGCAGAACUAUUCAUGGGCAUGGGGAUUUCUUAAGAUCCUCCCUCCGCCCUCUCUUCUGUCCUCGCUCUUCAGUGCCCAGUAGCGCUCUUCUUUUCCGAAGUCAGGAUCAGAUCAUCACCAACAUGAAAUUUCUGAAUGUGUUGGGCCUGGCUGGGCUGGCACGUGGAAGGAGCAAUCCAGCGGGCUCCUCGGCCUUGCGAAGCCAGGGAAGGGUUGGCGAGGUGCGGGAGAAGGAGUCCUCUGGGCUGCAGCGCGCCAGGUGAAUGCGAGGAGGGAGGAUUCAGGGCACCAGGAUCCCAGAGGGGCCUCCACAAGUCCAGAGGCCCUGAGACUUCGAGGCAACCUUCAGAGGACCGCCUGGAAGGACCGCGGUGCACCUGGCCCUUUGAGAGGAGAAACACGCUGGGGCGGAAAGGUGGUUUUCCCAAAUGACGUUAGAUCUGCAAAACCUGCUUAUUUUACCGCGAGAUUCAGCGAAGGCUGAAGGGGACCGGGAGGCUCAGUGGUUCCUUCGGCCUCGAAGGCGCCACGGGAGGAGGCCGCGUCCUCCGCCCUCGGCAACGCGCCACCAAGUCACUCCUCCAGCGCACCGGACUUCUCCGGGAGCCACAGCAGCUCAUUUCCUCCCACCUUGAGGUCUCUCAGCCAGAGUUUGCCGCCUCACCCAUGGAACAAACUGUCGGAGAGAGUUCUACGGCUGGAGCGCGAGGGUUUCACAUAUGAAGGACUUCCAGCUUCCCAAGGUCAGCCGGGGAGUCACGUGAUGAAGUCUGUGGCCAGAACGGCAUGAUGCAGUUCCACGAAGACUAAAAAAUUGGGAUUUAUGGCGGCGAUGUUGAAAAAUAUUCACAUUUACUGGCACCAGUACCCCUGAAGUGAGGUCGAGGACCCAGCGCCAGGCGCAGACGUCAUCGGCAAGCGUGUGGUGAGGACCAGGGCCCAGCUGAAAGGAGAGGGACAGCAUUGCUAGGGAGCGGAUGGGACACGCCGCUUCCACUCAGGGG